rnacentral:rRNA from 1 species
AUUCCAGCUCCAAUAGCGUAUAUUAAAGUUGUUGCAGUUAAAAAGCUCGUAGUUGGAUUUGUGGUGUACUUCGGCGGCCCGUCACUAUGUGAUGGAGCUUGCUGAAGUCGCCAUCCUUGGGUGGAUCCUGUGUGGCAUUAAGUUGUCGUGCAGGGGAUGCCCAUCGUUUACUGUGAAAAAAUUAGAGUGUUCAAAGCAGGCUUAUGCCGUUGAAUAUAUUAGCAUGGAAUAAUAAGAUAGGACCUUGGUACUAUUUUGUUGGUUUGCGCACCAAGGUAAUGAUUAAUAGGGACAGUUGGGGGUAUUCGUAUUUCAUUGUCAGAGGUGAAAUUCUUGGAUUUUUGAAAGACGAACUACUGUGAAAGCAUUUACCAAGGAUGUUUUCAUCG